rnacentral:miRNA from 1 species
CCUAUUAGUUUUCCUUGCCGAA